UACGUAGGGCUCGAGCGUUAUCCGGAUUUAUUGGGCGUAAAGAGUAUGUAGGUGGAUUUUUAAGUCGAACUUCAAAGCCCGUGGCUCAACUGCGGUCCUGGGUUCGAUACUGGAAAUCUUUGAGGAUAGUAGGGGCAAGCGGAAUUCCCGGUGUAGCAGUGAAAUGCGUUGAUAUCGGGAAGAACACCAAUGGCGAAGGCAGCUUGCUAGGCUAUUCCUGACACUGAGAUACGAAAGCGUGGGGAGCGAACGGG
rnacentral:rRNA from 1 species